GGUCCCGUAGCUCAGUAGGAUAGAGCACCAGAUUCCUAAUCUGGUUGUCGCGCGUUCGAAUCGCGCCGGGAUCACCA
rnacentral:tRNA from 4 species